UUUUUCUCUACUGUGUUAUUCUUUUCUUGUCUGUAAAAGAAGCCAUCAAUGUCACUGGGAAGCUUUCUGAGCUCUCAUAACUCAGGAGCAACAUGAAGCUGGUUUCCCAGCUGACACAAAUCAACAUAGCUCUGACAAAUCUCUGAUUUAUACCAGCUGAAAUGUUGGGACUCCACAAAGACAUCUAUCUUUCAGCUGUUGAAUGAUUAAUAUUCACAUCCUUUUUUAGCCUUCUACCUUCAUCUUGUUGAUAUUUCACAUUCCUCAGUACUCCUAAGCAGAGCAACAGUAAAAAAAGGAUGGCCGAUGGAAUUUUAUAUCAAGCAAAAUUUGUCAGCUGCACACUCAAAUCUGCAAUUGAAAGAACUACAAAGAAGAGAAUACAACUGCUGCUAUUGCAAAGAUAAAAAGCAGCUGGAUGGCUAUUGGGGCAUCCCUUCACUUAUCAUGACAAAAGCAACACCCAUGCAAAGCUUUUGAAGGAUUGUUACUAUACUGGAGAACCCAAGAGCUGAAAUGAUUCAAAUGACCCAGCAAUGAGGGAAUAUUGAGUGAAAGUGUACUAACUGACUUCAGGUUCAUAUUGUACAAAUGAAGUCAAAAUCUGGCUGAAAGCUAUGUAAUUUAUACCAAAGAAAUGCAGUCAAAGCUAUUACUUCUAACAAAAUAGCUGGAGGAAGGAGGGGAGAAAAGAAAGAAGAGGGAAAAAAAAAAAAAAAAAACAACCAAG
ensembl:lncRNA